rnacentral:rRNA from 1 species
CCCUUAGAUGUUCUGGGCCGCACGCGCGCUACACUGAAUGGAUCAACGUGUUUUCCCUUCCCGAGAGGGACGGGUAACCCGCUGAACCCCAUUCGUGGUAGGGAUCGGAGCUUGCAAUUGUUCUCCGUGAACCAGGAAUUCCCAGUAAGCGCAAGUCAUAAGCUUGCGUUGAUUACGUCCCUGCCCUUUGUACACACCGCCCGUCGCACCUACCGAUUGAAUGGUCCGGUGAAAUCUCCGGACUGGCGUGAGUCGGAGCAAUCUGACAAACACCGGAAAGUUGAUUAAACCUUACCAUUUAGAGGAAGGUGAAGUCGUAACA